CGGGAGGCAGCAGUGGGGAAUAUUGCACAAUGGAGGAAACUCUGAUGCAGCAACGCCGCGUGGAGGAUGACACAUUUCGGUGCGUAAACUCCUUUUAUUAGGGAAGAUAAUGACGGUACCUAAUGAAUAAGCACCGGCUAACUCCGUGCCAGCAGCCGGGUAAUA
rnacentral:rRNA from 1 species